UGGAUGUUGGUGUGUUUAACGUUGUCCCAAGUUCUAUGAGACUCUCUUCCCAUCCACUGAGUUAGCAAAAUGCAUCACUUCUUUCUCUCACAGUUCUGACAUUUUUGCCUUUAUUGGCAUUUCCUGCUUUACUGUCUUCCAAAAUAAGGGUAAAUAUCAAAAGGAAAAAGAUUGUUUUUAGUCAUUGUUAUAGCCCUGGCCAGACCAGGAAAAUCUUUAACAUAUAGGUCCUCAAUAAGUUUUUAGUGAAUGUACUAUCUUCCUACAGCUGCUGUAACAAAUUACCACAAAAUCAGUGGCCUAAAACAACAUAGAUUCAUCUUCUUACAGUUUAGGGAGACAGAAGACAAGAAUACAUUUCACCAGACUAAAGUCAAGGUGUUAGCAGGGCUCUGGUCUCUAGAGACUCUAGGAUAGAAUCCAUUUCCUUGCUUUUCCAACUUAACACUGCAUUCUCUGCAUUCCUUGGCUCAUAGUUCCUUCCUCUGUAUUUCAGUGUUAACAAGUAGCAUCUAUCUUCACAUCUCUAUCCAGGAGUUUGCUAGUGGCCUAGCUAGCAGUUAAUGAAUCCAGUGUUGUCACUGCUGUGGUUCAGGUUGCUGCUGCGGCACAGAUUUGAUCCCUGGCCCUGGAACUUCCACAUGCCACAGGAGUGGCCAAAAAAAACCCUCUCCAUCUGAGGUUGUCAUAUCACCUUCUCCUCUUAAGCAAACCUCCCACUACAUCCCUCUUAUAAGAAUAUGUGAUUACAUUUAGGAUCCAUCUGGAUAACACAGACAAUCUCCUGAUCUCAAAGUCCUUAAUCACUUUUUUUUGACACAUAAGGUAAUAUUCACCAUUUUGCCUUUACUCACAAAUUUCAGAGAUUAGGACCUGAAUGUCUUUGAGGGAUCAUUGUUCAGCCUAUCACAGCAAGUUUAACCCUCUUUUUAAAUGAGACCAUUCAAUGCAAGAUUCAAAAUAUUUACACCUGCUGAGUCUCCAUCUAAGGAAACAUUUUCCCCACUAACAAUAUCUAAUGUUCUCUAAGUUGCAAAUCCAACCUUAACAGUCUCAGUCAGCUUCUGCCUGUCAGACUCUUAAGUCCUCUGCCCCUGAGAACUGACUUGGGUCUGCCCCCUUUCUCUCCUAGCCUUGUCAGAGA
rnacentral:lncRNA from 1 species